CAUUUAUUCAUUUAACUGGCAGUUAUUUAUUGAGCAUCUAUUAUGUGGCAGGCACCGUGGUGACACUGAAAAGAGAAGGGUGAACAAGGACAGUCCUGAGCUCAAGCAGGCUGCUGGCAGGUGGUAGUGGGGGCAGACAAGCAAAGGGGCACCCAUGCCAUGGCCUGCAAUGCACCACCUCCAGGACAAGGUUUGGGACCCAUCCCUGGGUCUUGGGGGACAUUCUAAAAGGAAGCAGUGGCUCAGCAUAGACCUGAAGGACAAGAAGGCACCAGUCAUGUGUGGAGUGGGUUGGUGGAGAUGCGCAGAGUGCAAGGAGGUCUGGAGGAAGCAUGCUCAUGGCAAUACCCGGAGUCUCCACUGCAAGACCAGAGUGACGGAGGCAGCAGAGCUCCUCAGCAGGCCAGGAGUCUCCAGAGGCACUGCCGAAUGUCUAAGAAGCAACCUCAUUGUAUUCCCAAGACCUGGGAAUCCAGGUCUCGCAGAUACGAUGAUACAAUCUAUAGCCAGGACAUCUCUUCAUGUGUAGGAUAAGCAACUAUCCCAGUCUUCCCAGGAUUGAGGGGCUUCUCCAGAUGCUGCACUUCUGGUGCUAAAAAUGAGAAACUGAAAUGAAUUAGUCACCCAAGGAAUGCUGAC
rnacentral:lncRNA from 1 species